rnacentral:tRNA from 1 species
UCGUCGUGGUCCGCCAGGGCGAGGGCCAGCUCGGCGGCGUCGAGCAUGGCGAGGUUCGCGCCCUCGCCGGCGAA